AGGAGAGAGGGGAGAAUGAAGGGAAGAGGGCGGGAUAGUAAGCACAAGAGCCAAGGAAGGACUAGACGAGCUGUCUGGACAUUCACAGGAGACGUGCGAAGUCUUCUGACACAAAGGAAGCCAUCCAAAGAGCUUCAAAUGAGAGAACCUGCAAUCGCCCAGCUAUGCAGCACCCCAUGGCAGGACUUACCCUCUUCUUGAAAAGCGAACAUUCACUUGGUGCAUGGCUGGCCAACACUGCAGUUAUAAAAGCUUGUGCAGAUUGAGCAUUUUGAAAAGAUUAUCCUACCAGCUUAAAUGUGAUCAUGGAACAUCUGUGAAUUCAGUGUUCACUUCAAGGAAAAUGCUGUUGGCUUUGUCUUCCUCUCCAAGUCGUACUAAGCAUUGAAGCACAGAGAUGUCUCCCUGA